AUUGGCGUACGGUCGGUUCGGUUCGGUUCUUCCCUCAUCCAGGUUGACGUCCGCGCGUGUGUGUGUGCGUUUCUCACCUCUCUGCGCCUCCUUCGAUGGGGGUGGUGGUGGGUGGUUAAAAGACCCCUGGCUGCAGCUUUAAGGGCUAAUUUAGUGCUAGUUUCGACGGGGAAAUUGACGAUUUGACGCAUUUUUGGGGCGUUUUUUUCGGAGGACGGAGCUCGUUCCGGGUUGUGUUUGCACCCUAAACGUGGGGCGGAGUGUGGGCGCAUGUUUGGGGUUGUUUUGCUACGACCCUAAACAAACAGAGCUGGGAAGAAGGAAAAGGAAGAGUUUUUUUUUAGCAAAGGAUGUUGGCCCGCAGCUGAAGUUUUAGGAAGGAAAACUCCUUCCAGGAAGACUUGAAACUUGGUACCCGUGCCGUUUGUUGUCCCUCUUGUCCGCGGAACAAGACAAAAAAGGACACACACACCGAGUGAGAGGAAGUACGCGGUUUUCGAGGGAAAAUCGAUUAGAAGUGGUCGUCGUCGAUUUUUGACAGUGUGUGAGUGAGAGAAAGUUCGUCUGCGACGGAUUUGAGUGAGAAUUGCGGGAAACAAUCGUUGAAUUUCAUCUCUUAAAAAUUGAAAUCUUCAAAAAUACCGAAAAAAAUAAGGACAGUAGGGGGCAUACUGUUCGAAUCCAGACGAGAAAAAAAAAACUAAAAUCAAAAAGAAGAAAAUUUGAUUGCAUUAUUGCCUCCAGCGGAAAAAGGUUCGUUCGCGAGUGAGAAAAUCGCGGUGAGCGGUGAGAGAAUAAUCAAAAAACGAGAGAACAACAGAAAGCCGGUGAGAAGAAGGCAGAUUGUUGAAUGAAAUCGUGAAAAAAAUCGAGCGAUUUUUUGGUGUAAAUUAGGAAAUAACAAAAUCUAUUGAUGUUUGGCAUUUCUCUUCAAAUUAAUCGUCGUAUUUGUUGUUGGUAGAUUGUAAACGAAAAAAGGAAACAGCGUGUUGACUCCUGGAUGGUUUAAAAAGGCAUAAACGAAGAAAAGUGACGACUUGCGUAAAGCGAAAAUAAAUAAAAAUAUAAUAAAUAUAGAGUUUGUGUGACGGUGUCGAGUAUACCUAAAGAGAGAGAGAAAAAAAAAAAA